rnacentral:rRNA from 1 species
CGACCUUGAAAUACCACCCUUUAAUGUUUGAUGUUCUAACGUUGACCCGUAAUCCGGGUUGCGGACAGUGUCUGGUGGGUAGUUUGACUGGGGCGGUCUCCUCCUAAAGAGUAACGGAGGAGCACGAAGGUUGGCUAAUCCUGGUCGGACAUCAGGAGGUUAGUGCAAUGGCAUAAGCCAGCUUGACUGCGAGCGUGACGGCGCGAGCAGGUGCGAAAGCAGGUCAUAGUGAUCCGGUGGUUCUGAAUGGAAGGGCCAUCGCUCAACGGAUAAAAGGUACUCCGGGGAUAACAGGCUGAUACCGCCCAAGAGUUCAUAUCGACGGCGGUGUUUGGCACCUCGAUGUCGGCUCAUCACAUCCUGGGGCUGAAGUAGGUCCCAAGGGUAUGGCUGUUCGCCAUUUAAAGUGGUACGCGAGCUGGGUUUAGAACGUCGUGAGACAGUUCGGUCCCUAUCUGCCGUGGGCGCUGGAGAACUGAGGGGGGCUGCUCCUAGUACGAGAGGACCGGAGUGGACGCAUCACUGGUGUUCGGGUUGUCAUGCCAAUGGCACUGCCCGGUAGCUAAAUGCGGAAGAGAUAAGUGCUGAAAGCAUCUAAGCACGAAACUUGCCCCGAGAUGAGUUCUCCCUGACUCCUUGAGAGUCCUGAAGGAACGUUGAAGACGACGACGUUGAUAGGCCGGGUGUGUAAGCGCAGCGAUGCGUUGAGCUAACCGGUACUAAUGAACCGUGAGGCUUAACCUU